rnacentral:snoRNA from 1 species
AAGACUAUGCUUUCAGGGAUCAUUUCUAUAGUUUCUGACUUGGAAGUUUGAUUUGAAAGUGUAACGUCUCUCUAACUAUGAUGACGAGUUAAGAUGCUUUCUUCUGAGCGUGAAUCGGGUGGUGAGCGACGAGCGAGAUUGUCUGCUCUCUGUCAUUGAUGAACGUUCCUGCUGUGCUUUGCAGUCUGGAAGAAGAAAGCAUGUUCAGAGUGGU